AGAUGAAGGGGAGGAGUUUAUAAUGACUAUAAAUGAGGAAGAGAGCACAAGUCGGUCCUUUCAAUCCUGCAGACUCUCUUGUCUGAGAUGGAGCGGAGAUGAUCCACUUGCAAGCAGUGAUCCAACUGUCAAUGUACUGGAACAACUCCAGAACGCUGUCAUUCGAUGACUGCCUGCAAGAUGAGACAUCACGCUGCUGAAGGAUGUCUUUUGGCAUUUUGCCUAAUGCUUGCAUUUUAUUUGUAAGUUUUUUUGGAGGAGAGGAGGAAAACCUGUCUGCCAAGGGAUUUGGGCACUCGGGUCCACUGCCCUGUUUUAGUGGCUCCUGUGUGGUUUUCCUUUGGAAACCUCAUCAGUCCUCUGGAUGGGGUUCAGUGGACCUGCAGUGUACAGCGCCAGAUCUAUGAACUGCUGAUGAAGCACUGACAACUUGAAGCAACCUAAAAACCUACACAACUCAACAAAUGACACAGAAAGUCGACUAUUACCUAACCCUAUCCCUAAACCUUUUACCUAUGGUCGGCUUCUGGUUGUCUGUUGCUUGGUUGGUAGGUCAUGGGGAUGGCCUGCUGUGAAACACAACCUUUUUUUAUUUUUAUUUCCAAGGCUGCGCAACUUUCCGAAAAAAGACAAUAAAAAUUGAAAAAUCUGGUAACUGAAA